CCCUCAGCUGCUCCUUGUAGAUCUUGAUCUCUCAUUACACCAGUGAAAAUAAAUUUGGACUGAGAAAGAAUGGUCAGUUGACGAAUAUUUUGUUAGAGUAGAGAAUAUGACAAAAGAGAGUAAAGUUCUAUACUGACACAUGCCAUGAAGGACUCAUAAGAUUGUUCAAAAAUGCUAGAAUUUUCAACAGAAGCAGCAUGCCAUUUGGAAAAAUCUACAAGAAUGUUCACUUCAUCAGAAGAAAGGUAAGGGCUAGAAAUUGCCCAUACAGCAGUAGCUCUAGGAACUCCAACUGUUUCGACAAGAGCCACAGAAUUGAGGACUCCUUACCAAGAUCUAAGCAGUAUGCUAAGACCUUGGUUUUCAGCUGUUGUAUUUCAGUGGGAAGCACAGGACACAGGACAAGGAUCUUAAGAUUCAGUCUGCAGAACUGAAAUAUAGCCUAUCAGUGCUUGGAGAUAAUCAGAUAAAGAAAAAAUGGGUUAUGCUUCAGUGCUCAAACUAUGUGGAUUAAAAAGAAAUUCUGACAUAGAGGAAAGCAUGCAAGUGAAGGCUACCCCGAGGCAGCCUUAAUGUAAAAGCUGACAAGCCAGUGCAUACUUUCUCGCUUACUAAUUUACUUUUUUUUCAACAAAACGGUGAACCGAUCAUGGCAACUCCCUCAUCACAGAGCAUGCAUGAAUAAUCCUGUGAAUAAAAUAAAAUGUGCCUUGCCCUCUGCACUUCUUCUCAACUUUGGUUCAUGAAAAAUUAAGUAAUGAAGUAUCUAAUAGCAGUGCAUAUCUCAUCAUCGUCAAUUAAUGGCACUAAAAUGAAAUCUAGUUUAGCAAUAUUGAAGAGGUCAUGCAAAUAUCCUGUAGUAAGGUGCGUUUUAUGUAAGAACAUACUAUACUGAAGAUGUAAUAGUGGCAUACGUAGAAGGCACUCUAUGAUUAACUGCAAAAAGAUAUAUGCAUAUACAACUCUUUUUUUUUUUUUUUUUUUUUUUCCAUCUGAGUUUGUUUACUUUCCUCUCUGCAAACUCUGUCCUUGCCAUUCUUUUCUGACUAGUACAAUUACAGCAUUUGCUAUCUAUUUCAUGCCAGCCCUGAUAGGAUUAAGAGCUGGUGAAAGAACAGUGGGGUUUUAUGUGCACUGGUAGCCAUUCAUUCUUCCUUUUAAUUAUGUGAAUAGUAUUGCUCUGAUCAUUUUGAAAGCUAAAGAGAAAGUUAAUGUCUGAAAUAAUAAAAAUGUAAUAAAAGUAGAUUGUUUGCAGAAACAAACAAACAAACAAACUGCAUUUUACCUUUUAUGUUAUUGAAUUUGGAACAUAGUACUACAUAAUUCAGAUGAAUUGGAACUGUAUCUUGUUUUUGCUGUGCGUCUUUGACUAUAAUUAUAAUGCUAGCAUAUCACUUGGUGUCUUAUCUGUCUACUAAAGAACGAGCAAGCUACUAUGAGCCUGUUCUGGGCAUUUUUUGCAGAGAAGGAGCCUGCUAGCAUCAGAUACAGAGCAUCACACUACAAGGAGGCAUUUAACUGCCUCAGAAGACUAAUUCAUUUCUUAAUUCUCACAAAGUAUUUUGCAGUCUGGGAACCCAACCUCUGAACACAUAAACCGUGGUGGGUUUUUUUUGUUGUUGUUUCUUUUUGUUGUUGUUGUUGUUGUUAUUUUUGUUUGUUCAUUUGUUUGUUUGUUUGUUUGUUUUUCCUGAGGUAUCGAUAUAGUAUGGUACAGUUCUUUUUAAGUAUUGGGCAGGUGAAAACUGACUGACAAAAUCAUUGAACAGCAUUUUCAUGCAUAGUAACCCCCAGAAUAUUGGCUGCAAAAAGGUUUCAUCACAUUUCUGAAGCCUGUUGUCCAUGAUGCUGGGAUACAGAGAACUUCAAAUAUUCAACAGCUGAAAACAAGGGAAAUCAAAUAAACAGAGAGCGGCUGAUUACAGUUUCUUGUCUCUCCUUUACAGCUCUCGUUGUAAAACGUUGUAUGUGGAUUAAUUGGUUGUUCACAGCUGAGACUGAAGUGAUAAAAUCGGAAAGCGUCGGAAAGCUGGUAACUGAAACUGCUGCUGGGACUUCAGUGCCGUUGCUUGCAGAUGACAGCAGAGCUUCCCGUAGUAACAGCAGAUCCGCACAGAAAACAAAGCACGAAUUUUGUUUAAAAAACCUCCUCGAGAGGCCACAAAGCACCGACGAGCCAGCAGUUUCUGCCGCCGGCACCUCACGGCUCCUUCUCCGCGGCGGCCUCCCCGUGAGCAGCCCCCGGCCCGCCGCAGGACGCGGCCCCUCAGCGCCCCCUCAGCCGCCGCCCGCCUCCAGCCCGCGGCCGGCCCGGCCCGGCCCGGCCCGGCGCUGCGAGCCGCCCCGCACCGCCACCUGGCGGGGCACCGCAGGCCGGGCCCCUCGGUACUUGCCGCCCAAGGGUCUGCUCGCUGCCUUGGGAGGCUCCCCCACCGCCCCCCCGUGCCCUGGGGCCGUGGCAGGGGUGGGUGUGAGGGGAGCCAGCUCCCCGCGCCUGCACUAUGUGACCCGCUCGGCUGCAGCGGUGGAGGGCGAGGUGUAAUGGAUGCCGGCUUUGGGCGUUGGAUUGAUGGCCUUCCAAAUAAAAGAUUAUCAAGACCUGGAUGAUAACGCUUGGCCAAAGUUCUUUCAGAUGGCUCCCGAUUUAGGCAGUAUUAGCGCCGACUGAACGAUCCUUAGAAAGGGAACAGCGAUAGCCCCUGUUUUUGGCAGAUAUUUGUGGGACCAUGGACCAAAUCCUGCUGCCUACCUCUGAUAGAAGUGCAAAACACCCACACCAACCCCAGAGAAAUUCCCCUGUAUUUAUGUUGGUAUUGCCAUGAACUGUCUGUUUAAUUUCAACCAUACCUGCUUUGUACCCAAAUUUUCAUAUCCUCCAGUAAGUGAAGUUAAAUCAACAGCAGUCGUAGGCAUGCUCUGAGGGGGUGGCAUUCAUCAGGGAUCAGGCAAGUGCAAUACUGCCUGCCAAUUACGUGGGAAUCUGGAAAGAUUUUUUUUUUCAAACCUCUCCAGCAUUCCCUUCAAUACAGGUCAGUAAUGAAAUCCUUCAGUCAUUUAUAAAGUCAUUAUACCAAAUUAUUUCCCACAAAACUGUAUUUAGUCUAAUGGGUAUAUGUAACUAUUGCAUACAUAUACGUGGGAAAGAAAAAGCCACUGAAUUGCAAAUUUUCUUAAGCUCAGUAAAAAUCAUUCCUACAGUGGUUGUUCAAAAUAUUUCCAAAGCAGGCUUGUUUAGAAAAUCAGCUUUGCACAAUUAUCUUUCUACUGUUCCCAAGCUGUUCUAAAGUAACUGAGCAAAUGCUUCAGUGUUUGUUGUCUUGUACUGAAAUAAGUGUUGAAAUCCUCUUUGUCUCACAUCAUGUCUUUCUGUCAAUAUAUUGCAUGCAUCACACCUUGUCAGCUGGUUCUUGAGAAAGAAACACUAACUCUGUUCCUCUCAAUACUGUUUUCUGUCUCCAGAAGGAUUUUGCUGUAGAUUAUUGAUGUGAGACAAAAAUGGGAGGAAAUGCAGCCUAACCAGUGUAAACUAGCAAAUUGUAUAGCUGCACGUUUUAGUGAUUCCUGAUAGCACAAUGUGUGUAUAUAGAAGAAUCUCAUGGAAGAUCAUCAUAAAACUUAAAAAAAAAAAAAAAAAAAAAAAAAAAAAACAAGUUUAAAUGUAGUAAUAACAUUGAUGGCAGAGACAAAUAUAAAAUAUAAAGAGAGGCAAAUACAAAUUUAGUUUUCAGUUAUGUUAUUCAACGCUAAUUUUUGGUGGCCUUUUGAUCUUAUAUUAAGUUUUAUUUCAUCAAGAAGCAGGAGAGAAUCAAGGGGAAAAAUACAUACAAAAUGAGAUUUAAAGCAUUUAUUAAUAAAGUUUAUAUGUCCAUAAAGAAUAACAUACUGGAAGUGAAAAUACAAAAGCUGGUUCAAAGAGAAACCAUUAGAAACCACAAAAAUACUUUAUUGACAUUAUACAAUACUCUAUAAUCUGAUGCUUAGCUGUAGUUCAGCAUCUAUUUUGCACUAGCUGGGGAUUUUCCUUUCUGGUUAACUAAAGAAAACCUUUAUAAUGAAUACACUGCAGCUUUUGUGUUGACAGCAUGUGUAAAUAUUGAUUGAGCAUUUAGGGACUAAUAGAAGAAAAAUAGAACAGUUGGAGUAAUGGAGAGAGGUUGUCGUUAAUAGAUUAAUAGAAUUAGUUUAAUAGAAUAGUAAUAGAUUCUCUAACUUCUGUAUGUUAAGUAUGUUUCAAGUAUAGGUAUUAUACCGAAGCUGCUGAAUUGCUGUUGCUGAGGGUCUAGUUUUAAAUUUUUAUUUUCAUAAAUGUUAUAAAGAAUUAGGAUAUUGUUCUGCUUAGAUUUGGGCUGUGAGUUAUCAGAAAAAGCAGAAAUCUGAGCAUUAAGGGCUGGAGCUAGGUUUUGGAAAUAUAAGAGCUUUGUUUUCCAAGCUUCAAGAGCUUGGAAAUAUAAAAGCAUAUAAGAUGCUUUGGAAAGCAUCUGUCAUGUAAAAUGCUUUAAAAUAAAUUCUGCAACUUCCUUGUAUAUUUGAACCAGAUUUUUUUUAAAAAAGCCUCAGUGUAAUUCCAGUGAAAGUAAUACUUUAUAGUAGUAGUACAUAGUGAAAUUUGUACUUAAAAGCAAAUCAGUUGGUAGAUGAGUUCUGAUUUCUUGUAAGUAUAAUUAAUUGCUUAACUUAUCAAUCAUGCAAACCAGAGCAUCACAGCCGCGUCAUUUAAAUGUAUAUACAUUACGUAUUUCUCUGUGUUGUGCUCAUGAAGUAACGUGAAUAUGUGUGUUAACAUUGGCUUGUAAUAACAGUUGGCAUAGUUCAAAUAGAUGAUGAAGUAGAUCUGUUUGCACAACAGGAUGUAAACUGGGCUAAUCUUGUUUAAGGUUUGUAAUGUUUUGUUACUUUUGUCUUGGUCUCUGUCGGCACUGCUCACGUAAGUGGAGAUUGUGGCUCUUGCAGAACAACCUUGAUGGUGCUCUACACCUGCUUGCACUUAGGAAAAGAAACAUUUGUUACUCUUAUUUAUGUAAUUGCUUAAAUUGCAUUUUAAUUUUAACAGCUUAAGUAUGUUGGUGGAGAAAAAUGUUUUCUGAAUGAAAGUUUGAUCAAAUGCCCAGGGAGCCAGAGAAAGUCUUUCCAUUGACUCAAGAGAUUUUGUUUCAGGCAUUUUAUUUAAACAAUAUUCUUCUCAACCAUAACUGAGCAAAGUUACGUGCUUUUCAUGAAAGAAGAAGAAAAAAAAACAACAACAACAAAAAAAAAAAAACUCGGAACAAAAAUAUUUCAAACAUCCAUAUUUAAUUUAAUCUUUUAAGGAAAGGAAAAAAAAAAAAAAAAAGAAAAUUAAAUCUUUCCAUUUUAUAUUUUUCUUUAAAUUUAAAUUAUACAGAAAGCUGCAUUUAUAUUUUAAAAACGAUGUAUCUGUUUGAGUAUUACAAAACUUUAUUUCUUCUUGCUAAAAUGGAAAUUGGAUAGGAUUCUGUUGGAGUAAACUCAACAAUUGCUUAA